rnacentral:snRNA from 1 species
UCUCUUGUGCUCGGGCAUGUACUGUCGCCAGUGAGGUCUUUACCGAGGCACAGUCUUUUGCUGAUUGCAAAUUACACAUCCGAACACGUCUGUUGACUCCGGUCUUCAGCAAUUUUUGGCCCAUCCUUCUCCUACUUCGCACUUCGACUUGCCGUAUGCGGGCUUCCUGGGAU